rnacentral:rRNA from 1 species
UACGUAGGGUGCAAGCGUCAAUCGGAAUUACUGGGCGUAAAGCGUGCGCAGGCGGUUUUGUAAGUCUGUCGUGAAAGCCCCGGGCUCAACCUGGGAAUUGCGAUGGAGACUGCAAGGCUUGAAUCUGGCAGAGGGGGGUAGAAUUCCACGUGUAGCAGUGAAAUGCGUAGAGAUGUGGAGGAACACCGAUGGCGAAGGCAGCCCCCUGGGUCAAGAUUGACGCUCAUGCACGAAAGCGUGGGGAGCAAACAGG